rnacentral:rRNA from 1 species
UUUUGUCACAUGCUUGUCUCAAAGAUUAAGCCAUGCAUGUCUAAGUACACACUCUCGCAAAGUGAAACCGCGAAUGGCUCAUUAAAUCAGUUAUGGUUUAUUAGAUCGUGCAAUCCUAUGUGGAUAACUGUGGUAAUUCUAGAGCUAAUACAUGCACCUGGCCCCGACUUUACGAAGGGGCGCUUUUAUUAGAUCAAAACCAAUCGGGGAAACCCGUUGACGUGAUGACUCUGGAUAACUUUUUGCCGACCGCAUGGCCUUGUGCCGGCGGCGUAUCUUUCAAAUGUCUGCCCUAUCAACUUUCGAUGGUAGGUGACAUGCCUACCAUGGUUGUAACGGGUAACGGAGAAUCAGGGUUCGAUUCCGGAGAGGGAGCCUGAGAAACGGCUACCACAUCCAAGGAAGGCAGCAGGCGCGCAAAUUACCCACUCCCGGCACGGGGAGGUAGUGACGAAAAAUAACAAUGCUGGGCUUCAAGUCCGGUAAUUGGAAUGAGUACACUUUAAAUCCUUUAACGAGGAUCUAGU